AACAACUCCCAUUUAACCGAAUUUCGCUCAGAAUCGUUGGCCGUUUGCAACGAUUUAUUAUUGCGUGCCAAUUUAAAUUACAUCUUAUGUAUCCUAUCUUUCCAGCUUUACACCAACAUUAGUGACAUGUUUCCAGGGCGUGAAGCAUGUCGGUUUUUUUUUUAUUACCUUUUACUCUGCGUUUCUCUGUCUUUCAACCGUUAUUUUUACACCAACUUUUACGAUACUUUAAAUUUGCAAAACGC